AUUGCACGCUGGCGGCAGGCCUAACACAUGCAAGUCGAGCGAGCGGCGGACGGGUGAGUAAUGUCUGGGAAACUGCCUGCUGGAGGGGGCUAAAUAUUGGAAACGGUAUGUAAUUACGCCUACCAUCAGAUGUGACAAGAUGGCAUAAGCUAGUAGGUGGGGUAACGGCUGACCUAGGCGACGAUCCCUAGCGGGUCUGAGAGGAUUACCAGCAACACGGGUACGAGGAUACGGUCCAAACUCGUACGGGAGGCAGCAUGGUGGAAUAUUGCACAAUGGGCGCAAGGCUUAUGCAGGCAUGCCGGUUGUGUGAAGAAGACCUUCGGGUUGUAAAGCACUGUCAGCGUGGAAGCGUUACCCGCAGAAGAAGCACCGGCUAACUCCGGGCCAGCAGCCGCGGUAAUAC
rnacentral:rRNA from 1 species